rnacentral:rRNA from 1 species
CCCUUAGAUGUUCUGGGCCGCACGCGCGCUACACUGACGAAGUCAGCGAGCAUGUCCUACGCCGACAGGUGCGGGGAAUCUUGUCAAACUUCGUCGUGAUGGGGAUUGAUUAUUGAAAUUCUUGAUCAUCAACGAGGAAUUCCUAGUAAGCGCAAGUCAGCAGCUUGCGUUGAUUACGUCCCUGCCCUUUGUACACACCGCCCGUCGCUACUACCGAUUGAAUGGUUUAGUGAGAUCUUCGGAUUGGCGCCACUGCGGCUCAGCAAUGGGCUCGGUGGAUGCCGAAAAGUUGAACAAACUUGAUCAUUUAGAGGAAGUAAAAGUCGUAACA